ACUGCAGUUCAGAAGCAGGCAGGCCAUCUGCGGGAGCAGUGAGGCAAACGACUAAAGACGACAGUCUACUGUUGACCCGAGGAGAUGGCUCCUUCCCAACACUACCUUCAUGGCUUUUCCUCCUGGUAUUCCAUCAUCUCUCAGCACACGAGAAGCAACUCAAAGGAUUCCUGCGAGUGAACUUGAUUUUGAAAUGUGAACAAGAUUCUGUGAAUAUUUCAAAAUUACUUAUUGCCAAGAAGACCCAUUAAUGGAGGUAGACUAACAACAAAAGAAUGUCAACUGACGUCACAAGCACCAAGAGGGAAGUGACAAAAAGACCCCGAUGGAGAUGGACGGGAAGUCUGUAUCAGCCAGAGCCAUUAGGCGCUGUGGGAAAGAAGGUGAAAUGUGGGCUAAGAGCAGAUUUGCAAUUAAUCACUGGUGAUGGUGGUAACCAGGCGGCAGACUCUUUUCAUCUUGGGGGUACUCUAAGAACCACAAUUUCUUAUGGGGGAAGAAUAAAAGACAGGCAUUACUUCAUAUGGAUGCUCUCUGGCAGAAACGGCUGAUAAUCCGUGCGGGAUCUUGUACAAACAGUAGGAAACUGUACCCUGAAGGUACGCCCAGUGAGAUGAUGGAGCUUAAUUACAUCAUGGGACAAUGAGCAGCCACCCCAGGAACCAGCCCUGCCAGGUCAGAGCGUGGUGAGAGCUUCCGACCAAUCCACAUGACACACAUGUGAGCACCUUAGCUGCUACACCUGACUGACCACCCCGUCCGCCCCGCCUCCCCAGCCCUGGUCCCUGUCAGCAGAAAGCAGGGCACAAGUCUUCAUUCAAGUUUCAGCUGAGAUGUUAAAAAGGAAAUGACAGUAUUUGCUCAGGAAAUCCUGGAUACUCUGCUGAUAGAUGCAGACCUGCCUACAGAUGAGGAAACUAAUAGUUUCUUGUAAAUGUGGACUUCCGUGGCCCUUCUGGAAAAGCAGCUGAGAAGUGCUUCCUUCUCAUGAUGCCUCGGAGUUGGUCUGCAAAAAGCAGCCCACAAAACAUGAUUUUUGUGAUUUUUGAGAGUCAUGUUAGAGAUAAUGAUAGUAAAUAUGUUUCUCCUAAAAGUAGCUUCAGGCAAUCACUUACAUCUUAGAAGAAAAAAAAAAGACCUUUUCUCUGGCAUAUAAGGGGAAGGAUAAUAUAGGUUGAUUUAGAAGAUAAGAAGCAAGUGUGGAAAGGACUUCUACCUCACCUGUAUAUUAUUUCUGGAGCCUCAGAAAUUGAUGAAAAAUUACCUUUCAUUCGCUGGAGAUAUUUUUUAUUCAUUAAGUUUCUCAUUGAGCGAAUGUGUACUGACAGCUAAGGGAAUCCAGGUGUAUCAUUGGGAGCAGAAAUGCUUCCCCCAGAGAGUUGCAGAUGUAACGGAAGCCAGAGUGAAGCAUCUAUUUCAUUUCAGGCAGGGACCAUGUCUUACCAGCUUUUGUUGUCCUCAGAGUGCACAGCACAAAGCCUUGUACCCCAAAGGAGCUCAGAGCUACUUACUGGAUGAAAGAGUGCAUUAACCUUAAAUGAUAAUUUCGAGAGGCAACAUUAAAUAUUAGUAAUCAUUAUAAUAUCAAAAACAAUUAUAACCACUAUCAUUUAUGAAGCACCUAUGAUGUCCAUAUGUAUGUACUAUGGUGAGGGUUAAGCCCUUUUAUUAAUUGUGAUCUUGGGAAAGAAUAUCUCUUGGAAAAGUCCCAGCAAAGGCUAGACUAGUACGAGUUUUUCUCUUUGGUUACCAGCACAUCUCCUAAGUUUGUGAAGCCUGUAUGCCUUAAGCUAAAAACAACCUGCUGCAACUUAGGGGAGUAGUUAAAAUGUAAGUACAAAUGCUAUUUUUGGAUUAUAAGACAGGGACUGAUUAGGUCAGAGCCUGGUUACCUCCACAAAAGAGGGAAUCCUCCAGCAGCUUAAUGUCACGGGCCUUGUAUGCUAGAUCACCAUGUUCCUUACACACUUGCUGUCCCUCUGCUCUUUAGGGCCUUGAUAGCAACUAUAUAGUCCCAACCCUCCUCAUCCACGUGGACCAACCCCAUUUGGAAGGUGGAGUAGCCAAAGCUCACACCCUUCCCCUGGGGUAGUGCGCUUCCUCCUCAGUGCAUUAGGAGUGGAUGAGAUGGAAAGCAAGGCUUGUUUUUUGACUCCCAUCUGAUAAUUCUGAGUUGGAGCCCAUUAGGUAGAGGAAAAAGACUUAUUCUUAGUUUAACCUUUGGAACCAGGAAAUGAGGCUUUAAUCAGAAUAAAACAGCACUUUACAGAUGUUAUCUAAUUUAAUCACCAUAAAAACUUUAAGAGACAGAGUUCAUUUUCUGCAUUGAAGUAAACAAGGCUUAGAGUCACCGAUAACAUGCCCAAGCUUGUGCAGCUGGUGAAGUGUGGUGAACUUUGGUGUGACCGACUCUAAAGUCCGGGUUAAUAGCUAAUAACUAGGCCCAGCUGAGAUCUGCUCUGGGUAAGCAGAUCAUCAAAGUUGGAGGCACAAAGAAAAGUGGAAUCAAUUUCUUUCACGUCCUGCAUUUAAGAUGAGUUGACAAUUACUAGGAUGUUCUGUUCUCUCUAGUAUAUUAUCUCGAUUUCUCUCCAAAGUUCUUUUGAGGCCUUCCUGCCAGGUCAAGCUGCACGCUCUAAGUCACCUAGCUAUCAGCUAGUGAGACCAAGACACCUUACAAGCAAGAGCAUCACUUCAAUGACGGUUAAGAUUCCUCUGAGCUCUGUUCUUGAAGAUGUCUUUAUAGUGCCAGGUAUCAGGUCUUCAAGUAACUGGGGAUGGAGUGUUCGUUUGCAUUGACGUCAGAAUACAUAUAAUCAGCUAUUACUUAGGAUGUGACCAUCCAACCUGUGCGCUUUCUCUCCUCCUCCUUCAGGCCUAUCCUUUAGCUCAUUAAUAUAUCCAGAGUGAUUAGAGAGAAAAACUGCUCCCUUUUUAUUAGAAACUUUUUUUGGACCAACCAACAAACAAAAAACAAGUUAAGAGAUGAACUUACUGAUG